AGAAGGAGGUGGGUGGCAGGUAGCUUAGCCAGGUGAAGAUAGGACUGAGCCCCAGAAUGUAGGAGCAGUAUUGAGGUAAUGUGAACAAAGUGUGGAGUGGUAGUGGGAGUGGGAACAGCAGGAGACAUUGCCAAUGCUAUUUAGUAAGGUCUGGGAAGUUCUUAAGCUAGGAGAUAGGUGGGAGAAUCUACAUGUGAUGAGUGGGGGCUGGGGCAUCACUGUAUUUGUGACAACUCUAGUGUUCUUGUAUGAAGAGGUUCCUUAGAAUAGUUUUAUUUUUGGAAUGACCAUGAUUAAAUUAGGUAUCUCUGGAGUGACACCCAAGGCUUUAUUUCAGGUCUGUCAUGUCUGAGGCAUGUCCACCAACUUUGACUCAUUUCCAGUCCGGAUUCUCAAUCAAGUAUAGAAAUAAAAAAGCAAGCAGAAUCUAGAGAAGUUGCCAAGCAAAAGCAAGAUUUAUUGCAAACAAUGGAACAGACUCCUCUGGAAAGGCGGGGCCCCAGAGCUGGGAGUCUGCUUCUUCUGUCAAACAGGGCUGAAUUUAUGGAAAAACCUGCUAGGAUUGUUCCACAUCUUUUCUGCCUGAACCCUCAGGUCUUUGGCCUGGAAUUGGAAGAUAAGUGUGUGUUCCUGCAUGAGUCAAGUAGAUCUGGGCCUCUCUCCUGCCGCAAUAUGAGGUGCACAGGAAGGGUAAGCCCUUACUUUGGAAACUUAGACAUGGGGCCUGCAGGCAGUGUUCUUGGUGCCACCUGGAAUAGAAGGAGGAGCAAGGGCAUCUAUGCUUCAGCUGCCUAGUUGCACUGCUGGAGGCUUCUGGGAGAUCUGACUCUGGUGAUCAC
rnacentral:lncRNA from 1 species